GAUGAACGCUGGCGGCGUGCUUAACACAUGCAAGUCGAACGGUGAAAGAGAGCUUGCUCUCUGGAUCAGUGGCGAACGGGUGAGUAACACGUGAGCAAUCUGCCCCUGACUCUGGGAUAAGCGCUGGAAACGGCGUCUAAUACCGGAUACGAGCUGCGAAGGCAUCUUCAGCAGCUGGAAAGAACUUCGGUCAGGGAUGAGCUCGCGGCCUAUCAGCUUGUUGGUGAGGUAAUGGCUCACCAAGGCGUCGACGGGUAGCCGGCCUGAGAGGGUGACCGGCCACACUGGGACUGAGACACGGCCCAGACUCCUACGGGAGGCAGCAGUGGGGAAUAUUGCACAAUGGGCGCAAGCCUGAUGCAGCAACGCCGCGUGAGGGACGACGGCCUUCGGGUUGUAAACCUCUUUUAGCAGGGAAGAAGCGAAAGUGACGGUACCUGCAGAAAAAGCACCGGCUAACUACGUGCCAGCCGCCGCAGUAA
rnacentral:rRNA from 1 species